rnacentral:ncRNA from 1 species
CGGGGACACGGCAGACUCCCCCUUCAGACGGCCUCCGUCCAAGCUCUGC